rfam:Myotis lucifugus cont2.28094, whole genome shotgun sequence.
GCCGGUUUGGCUCAGUGGAUAGAGCGUCAGCCUGCUGACCCAAGGGUCUCGGGUUCAAUUCCUGUGAAGGGCA